rnacentral:misc_RNA from 1 species
UCUGGAGCCGCGUGAAAAUACUCAACCCUUUUCGGCUGUACGUUGAUGUGCGACAAACCAGCUCUGCAGGGAAAGGACUACUGCGGAUUUUACGUGAAAGGAAAACGAAAAAUCCGGGAAACGAUUUUCCCCCACUACGGCCUCCCGUACAUCCAUCCUCCGACGCUUCCGUGCGCAGCUCCUGAGGGAUCGUAAAUCUUGUCGGUAUACGUCCGAAGGUUGGGGAGGUUCGCCUCGGGCCCGGUGGACCGUAUCCGGGAUUGGCGGCUCUCGGAUCCACCCUCUUCAGUUUCGGGUACUAAUAUGCGAUGUAGAAAAUAACCGGCCGACGCCUUUUUACCUGGAAAGCUACGAAAUCAUUGGGCCCCGAGUAAAAGCAAAACGACUCGUAACCGGCGUCCUCUUUUGCCGAGGACAUGGCGCGACCGGACGAACCACAAAGCUAGGUAUAAAAGCUGAAUAUGGUGUAUUCAUUUUACAUCGAUAGCUCAGAACCAGAAGGUCGUAUCCCUCGAAAUGAAUUCUCACAACGACCGUGAUCUUAACCAUCCUGCGAUGAACGGAGAAGAAAAUUUAUGAAGAAACUUUACAAUUAUUUAAUAGCUAUGCAAAAAG